rnacentral:rRNA from 1 species
UACAGAGGGUGCGAGCGUUAAUCGGAAUUACUGGGCGUAAAGCGCACGUAGGUGGCUAUGUAAGUCGGGUGUGAAAUCCCCGGGCUCAACCUGGGAACUGCAUUCGAGACUGCAUGGCUGGAGUACGGAAGAGGAGGGCGGAAUUCCCGGUGUAGCGGUGAAAUGCGUAGAUAUCGGGAGGAACAUCAGUGGCGAAGGCGACUUCCUGGACCAAUACUGACACUGAGGCGCGAAAGCGUGGGGAGCAAACAGG